rnacentral:rRNA from 1 species
CACGUAGUUAGCCGUGGCUUUCUCAUAAGGUACCGUCAAUUGAUAGUCAUUUCCUCCUAUCACCUUUCUUCCCUUAUAACAGAAUUUUACAACCCGAAGGCCUUCUUCAUUCACGCGGCGUUGCUCGGUCAGGCUUUCGCCCAUUGCCGAAGAUUCCCUACUGCUGCCUCCCGUAGGAGUCUGGGCCGUGUCUCGGUCCCAGUGUGGCCGUUCACCCUCUCAGGUCGGCUACGCAUCGUCGCCUUGGUAGGCCUUUACCCCACCAACUAGCUAAUGCGCCGCAGGCUCAUCCAUCAGUGAUGCUAGGAGCAUCUUUAAACUUUCGUCCUAUCCGGUAUUAGCGAUCGUUUCCAAUCGUUGUCCCCGUCUGAUGGGCAGAUCACCUACGUGUUACUCACCCGUUCGCCGCUUCCCACCGAAGUGGUUCGCUCGACUUGCAUGUAUUAGGCACGCCGCCAGCGUUCAUCCUGAGCCAGGAUCAAACUCU